rnacentral:rRNA from 1 species
CCUUGUACACACCGCCCGUCACACCAUGGGAGCGGGUUCUGCCAGAAGUAGUUAGCCUAACCGCAAGGAGGGCGAUUACCACGGCAGGGUUCGUGACUGGGGU